AUGGCCGCACCUCCACCCUCCAAGAGGAGAGGCGGCGGCGGUGGCGGGGGUGUGGAGAGGAAGGAUCUGUUCCACGUCGUCCACAAGGUGCCCGCCGGCGACAGCCCCUACGUCCGGGCCAAGCACCUCCAGCUCGUGGAGAAGGACGCGGAGGCGUCGAUCGUGUGGUUCUGGAAGGCGAUCAACUCCGGGGACAGGGUGGACAGCGCGCUCAAGGACAUGGCCGUGGUGAUGAAGCAGCAGGACCGCGCCGAGGAGGCCAUAGAGGCCAUCAGAUCCUUCAGGCACCUCUGCUCCAGGCAGGCCCAGGAGUCCCUCGACAACCUGCUCAUCGACCUCUACAAGAAAUGCGGAAAAGUCGACGAGCAGAUAGAGCUGCUGAAACAGAAGCUCAAGAUGAUAUGCCUCGGCGAGGCCUUCAACGGGAAGAUCACCAAGACGGCCCGCUCCCACGGCAAGAAGUUCCAGGUCUCGAUCCAGCAGGAGAUGUCACGCAUUCUGGGUAACCUUGGCUGGGCUUACAUGCAGCAGAACAACUAUGAAGCCGCAGAAUUGGUGUAUCGGAAGGCCCAGACUAUCGUACCUGAUGCCAACAGGGCGUGCAACCUCGGGCUGUGCUUGAUCAAGCAGGGCAGGCAUCAGGAGGCAGUGCAAGUACUCGAGGAUGUGGAUGACGACAAGGCGGUUGCCCGAGCUGAGCAGCUCCUCAGUGAGCUCGGUCCGACUACACAUGUUUCAUCGCCCUUUGAUAUUGGCUUGAGUUUCACUGAAGAGAUCAUGGAGAGACUAGACCUUGUGAUGAAUGAGUGGACACCGUUCAGGUCGAGGCGGCUGCCUGUAUUCGAGGAGUUAGAUGCAUUCAGGGACCAGAUGGCUUGUUGA
rnacentral:rRNA from 1 species